rnacentral:rRNA from 1 species
GAUGAACGCUGGCGGCGUGCCUAAUACAUGCAAGUCGAGCGAACGGACGAGAAGCUUGCUUCUCUGAUGUUAGCGGCGGACGGGUGAGUAACACGUGGAUAACCUACCUAUAAGACUGGGAUAACUUCGGGAAACCGGAGCUAAUACCGGAUAAUAUUUUGAACCGCAUGGUUCAAAAGUGAAAGACGGUCUUGCUGUCACUUAUAGAUGGAUCCGCGCUGCAUUAGCUAGUUGGUAAGGUAACGGCUUACCAAGGCAACGAUGCAUAGCCGACCUGAGAGGGUGAUCGGCCACACUGGAACUGAGACACGGUCCAGACUCCUGCGGGAGGCAGCAGUAGGGAAUCUUCCGCAAUGGGCGAAAGCCUGACGGAGCAACGCCGCGUGAGUGAUGAAGGUCUUCGGAUCGUAAAACUCUGUUAUUAGGGAAGAACAUAUGUGUAAGUAACUGUGCACAUCCUGACGGUACCUAAUCAGAAAGCCACGGCUAACUACGUG